CGCUGAUAAGCUAACUGACUGGCGGCUGUCUGAGCUGACAGAGAAUUUUAGAGGCCAUCCACAAACAUAAAAGAGGCCCUGGCGCUAUCAUUGGUUUAGACAUUCCCUGAAUGAUGGAUCAGAAAUUGGCUAUUUCCAGAGACUCCAGAAUGAAAACCAAGCUCUGAGGGAGGAGAACCACACCCUGAGGGAAAGCAAUGCACGAGCAGGUGAGAAUAUGCACUCUUUCUUAAAUUUUACUUUUUUUGUGUGUAAUUUAGGUUCAAAA